rnacentral:tRNA from 1 species
GCCUGGGUGGCUCAGUCGGUUAAGUGUCUGACUUCGGCUCAGGUCAUGAUCUCACAGUUUGUGAGUUCGAGCCCCGCAUCAGGCU